ACACUGCCCUGAUAACCAAAAAUGCAGUAAUCGACAUUUUUGAGAUUUUUACUUUUUGCAAGAAAUGGGAUCCCAAGGAGUUUAUUAACCUGUAAAAAAACAUAUUUCAUAUAAAAAGUUCCCGGAAGUAUGUUUUUUAGCAUACGAUUUUCGCAGUACUUACAUGAAAACUAUAUCAAUGAUAAGAAAAAGCGCAGUAUUUAACAUAUGCUAAAGAAGAAUGCAGUAUUUGUUGGAAUGCCCUAAAAUAAAGUGCAGUAAUAGCCAUUACUGUAACAUUUUAAUUUAAUAUCUAUAGACCAGCUGCUAAGCCAAAACGCAGUACUCCACAUUACUGCGUUUGUGCGUAGUAAAAGAUCGCGAGAUGGUAACCGUACGAUACAGUGCCGCGUUUUGUUGAAGCAAAUCAGUGCGUCGUCAUCGUUCGGCGAAGUGAGACGUGCGGCACGCGGUGCGCUGUUGUUUUUUAAUGGAACGAAAUUUUGAACAUUGUCUUCAUAAUGUCUGUCAAAAAUUCCCGCGGAAGAAACAUGUUAAAAACGCUUACAAUUAAGCAGGUAAUAUAGAAAAUAUUGUUACUACUUAGAGAUUAAUCUAAUAUGUUCCUACUAUUAAAUAAUAUAUGAGUCAGUCUAACUGAUGUUAAUAUGAAUGUUGUCUUAAUAAAGAUUAAUUUUCUUCUACAAAUUGUUUAAUUUUAAUAUC